rnacentral:lncRNA from 1 species
UAGACCAUUUCCUUUCCUUUCUCUACUUGUGGUAAUUCUCUGAUCAAGCGUGCAUUUUUUUUUAGAUUUUUAAACUUUAUUUGUGUGUGUGUGUGUGUCUGUGUGGGAGAGAGAGAGAGAGAGAGAGAGAGAGAGAGAGAGAAACAAGCAGACUCUCUGUCGAGUGCAGAGCCCUACAUGGGGCUGGAUCUCAUGACCCUGAGAUCAGCCUGAGCCGAAAUCAAGAGUCGGGCACUCAAUGGACUGAACAACCCAGGUUGCUGGAACAACCCAGCCCCUCCCCCCAUUUAAAAAAGAUUUUAUUUAUUUUCAAGCAAGAAUUUGUCAAACACCUCUCAUAUACUCAGGGCUAUGUCAGUAGCUAUUCUCUGGGGAAUCUGGAACCAGGCUGCCUGGGCUGGAAUCCCAACUCCAUCUUUUCUAGCUGUGUUACUUGGACCAAAUUACUUGAAUCUCCCAGUUUCCUUCUCUGUAAAAGGACAAUAACAGUACUUAUAUCAUGGGGUUGUUGUGAAAAUGAAAGCAGCUAAUGUGCAUGAAGUGUUAGCACAGUAUCCAGUUCCCUGUCUGCGUGGGUCCAAACUACAGUGUGUUUAUAGUAUCGCUUGAGAGACAUGAUAACCUCAGGUGAUACUAGAGAGGUAACCCACUAUUUGGUACAACUUUCAUUAUUUCGAUUACUUUUCCCUGGGUCUUCUUAAAGAUGACCCAGAAAAUUCUGCUAAAAAUAGUAAUAGAAUCCCUUUGAAGUCUAUACUUACCCAAAAUUUUAGUAGAUGUUUUAGUUGGACUCCCCCUCAAAAGUGGACUCUGAGGCAAAGGAUUUGAGGCAAGUAGUAUAUUUGGAAGUGAUCCUGGGAAGCAGAGCGAGAAAGUGGGGAAGUGAGCAGGGGAAGGGAGAAAAUCCAACCGCAUAGGUUACCUUGGAGGCCCGCAGGGUCUCAAUCCUGCUGCAAGGGCCCCUCUGAGAGGCUGUGUAGAACACACCUCCAACUGUCCCAGCAGGGCUGAGGGGGCUGGUGGAUUUAUCCUCAUCUCCUGAGGGUUGUCCUGGGGGUGCCACUCCCCAGCCCUCCUGGCCCAUCUUGACUGUGGGCCCAGCAUGCUGCCGGGGGCAGAAAAAGCCUGCAAGCAUAGACACAGAGGUGCCUGAGGGAGGAAGCCACUGUGCUGGAUUGUCUUCUAACAACGUCUGCCUCAGUUGAAUGGGUGAGUUAAACACACCUGCCACAGUAAGCAUAAGAAGACGUGAAACAGUUUCAUUUUUACUUUAUCUGAUUAAAAAUGUGAUUGAAAGGGAUUUAACCUCAGCCUAGACUUUCAACUUCUACCCCCUCCCCCACACUUGUCACAGUCUGUGAUUUUCACGGGUGGUUCCUGUAGCAGCUUGUGUGUGAUUCAGUCUUUAAGGGUGUGUUUAUCAGAAGUUCUCACCACCCACUCUUCCAAGUCCACAUAUUAUCACGGGUAAACUUUUCAGUGAUUUGGGGGGGGGGGCAGUGUCAGAAGAUAUACAUUAUUUUGGUACCUGCUUAUUAGCCAAGAAAACAGUUCUGGAGUGUUUCUCUUUAGCUGUUGUCUGUUAAACAAACACCGUGACUUGCACUGCAAAAUCUUAGGACCGUGGGCUGUUAGAUUCAUCUGGUUAGAUUUCAGUAUAAGUAGCACCAUGAGAGCUUGCACUUCUUUGAAUACAUGAAUGACUGUCAGAGUGUUAACUUCCAUAAAAAUCAGUUACAUCUGCUCAGUUUCCAGGUGAGAGAGUGUGGAUUCUGGAGAAUAAAUCUGUCAUCAUCAUUUAGAAAAUGUAUUUGAUGGUAAAGAAAUAUAGAAUGCCACAUCUUUAUCUACACUAUGAGUACAAGGAUAUGUAAGUUAUGUAAGUUUAUAGACAAGAACAGGAAGGUAAAAUGGGGAAAUGAAUAUUGUUUUGCCAAUACAGUCAAUCUUCUUUUUAAAAACAGAAGAGAGAUCUGCAGAGUCCUAUAAUCAAAUCCCAGUGUGACAUGAAAUUUUUAGCGAGCUUUUUCUUAGCCUUGGCAACUUUUCCAGGAUCAGUUACAGAGGAAUUUCCCCCAGAUUUUCUGCCACCCAUUUGUUUCCUCUAAAAGUAGGCAAAAAAGAGGGGAGGGAAGUUAGUAAGUUAGUAAGAGAAGCACUGUGAACAUGGAUGAGCUUCAAAAACUAUAUGCUAGGGAAGACAGACACACAAGACCACCUAUUAUAUGAUACCAUUUAUAUGAAAUUAAAAAAAAAAAAAAAA